UACGAAGGGGGCAAGCGUUGUUCGGAUUUACUGGGCGUAAAGGGCGCGCAGGCGGCGCGUCAAGUCGGGUGUGAAAGCCCCGGGCUCAACCUGGGAACUGCACUCGAGGCUGACGCGCUAGGGUUCGGGAGAGGAUGGCGGAAUUCCCAGUGUAGAGGUGAAAUUCGUAGAUAUUGGGAAGAACACCGGUGGCGAAGGCGGCCAUCUGGACCGAGACUGACGCUGAGGCGCGAAAGCUAGGGGAGCAAACGGG
rnacentral:rRNA from 1 species